ACGGAGGGGGCUAGCGUUGUUCGGAAUUACUGGGCGUAAGGCGCACGUAGGCGGCUUUGUAAGUUAGAGGUGAAAGCCCAGGGCUCAACCCUGGAAUUGCCUUUAAGACUGCAUCGCUAGAAUUGUGGAGAGGUAAGUGGAAUUCCGAGUGUAGAGGUGAAAUUCGUAGAUAUUCGGAAGACCACCAGUGGCGAAGGCGGCUUGCCAGAAUGCGCUCGACGGUGAGGGAUGAAAGCUGGGGGAGCAAACCGGA
rnacentral:rRNA from 1 species